UUUAGUGGUAAUGGACCAAAGCAGAGACACAGGUGAUGCAUGGCGGGGGUUUUUCGGGGGUGCUAAUAAAGAACAGUACGAACAGCUCCUGGUCAUAUCUUAAAUAAAGACAACCCAAAUGAAGCAAAGAUCUCCUGUGCAUCUGCCUGCUUCUCCACAUCCUUUACCAACCACCACAGAAAAAUACUAUCAGACCACACCAUCUCAAGCCUGCCUGCCUCUUGCUCUCGUCAGCGCCACCAGCCACCACUUCCUUCAGCAUGCUUGUUAAUAAACACUGUUAACUUUU